rnacentral:lncRNA from 1 species
AGCCACUGUAGCAAAUAACAGAACCCAAAGAGGGAGUCAUGGGAAUCUCAACUUGAAGCCAGUCGAUCAGAACUUCCGGAAGCCCAGACUUGAGACCGGGCUUAAUAUACACAAGGCCAUAGAGCUAGACCCAGGCCAUGGAGGAGCAUGGAGGACCGCAAUUCUAAAAGCUUUGCCAGCUUAAAAGUAAGUGCAUCCAGGAAGCAGCUGAAACUUCACGCAGAUUUGUGGAUAUAGACAUGAAGGGAAUAUGGCUUCCUUUGUAGUGAGUUCUGUCUGCAGAUGGACACUCAAACCAUGAAAAGCUCAGCCUACGCCGGGCAGUCGACAUCGUGGCUCCGGCCAGCAAUUCUUCCACUAGAUUUAAUGAGAGCGUGGAAGUCCCUGAACAACCUGAAGGCACAUUUGAGGAGAAGCACACACUCAGUCAGGGAAUGGAGCCAGAAUUUCAUCUGCUUGAGAUGGAAGUGAAGAAAUUUCUGGAGACUGGAGUGGAUUAUAGGAGAAAGUACCAGGGUUUAGCCUGUGCUUAAAAUGGAAAUUCCUCGCAUUCUCAUUUCAGCUUCUCUGAGGGAGGAAGGGCAUUCCUGAAACACAGCUGAGUAUGUAACAGGCCACGAACCUUGGUGACAACCAGGUAACAUCCUUGGUCAUAGAGGCUAUGUCGGUUUCGGUUACAGUGAUGCACUUUUAAACAGUUUAGGCCAUCGCUAAUAAGCUUCAAGUCUCAGCUUUUCUGUUUGUAAGUUAAAAAUUUGGAGGUAAAAAAUUAGUGCUUUCAUUUAUAGUACAUCACAAUAUUUCCAAGAAAUAGCCCGACAGGGAGAAACUUUCCUACAGUCACGAACCAUUUGACUCCUACAACUCCAUCUUUGGAGGCUGCCAGCAUGUUCUGAGUCCAGGGCAGAUCCGAUGAAUAAUUUUCCUGCUUCUCAUCCUAGAAUAUCUGCCUGCCUCACAGGAUCAAGUCCAAGCCCCAAACCUGCCAUUCAGGGACCUCAAUUCUGCAUCCUACCUACUGCUUCAGCUGAGGCUCCUGCGUGCGGUGCCUGGAACACGAGCAGCAGGGGCUGCCUCCGCACACCGGCGCGCGCACACCCGGUGUCUUUGCUCAUGCAGUCCUGGGGCCUAGGACGCCUCCUCCUGCUCUUCCUUGCCUUGCUCAUAUCUGCUCAUUCUUCAAUUCUUGGCUGGUAUCAUCUCUUCCAGGAAGCCUCCUCCUCCGGGUCUGUGUGCCCUGAUAGCUUGCUUCCUCUAUGUUAUUUUAUUAAAAAGAUC